rnacentral:piRNA from 1 species
AGGCCUUUGAGAAAGGGGGCGGUU